rnacentral:rRNA from 1 species
UACAGAGGUCCCAAGCGUUGUUCGGAUUCACUGGGCGUAAAGGGUGCGUAGGCGGUCGGGUAAGUCUGAUGUGAAAUCUCACAGCUUAACUGUGAAACUGCAUUGGAUACUAUUCGGCUUGAGAGUUGGAGGGGGGACUGGAAUUCUCGGUGUAGCAGUGAAAUGCGUAGAUAUCGGGAGGAACACCUGUGGCGAAAGCGGCUCACUGGACCACAACUGACGCUGAGGCGCGAAAGCUAGGGGAGCAAACAGG